GACGAACGCUGGCGGCGUGCUUAACACAUGCAAGUCGAGCGGUAAGGCCCUUCGGGUACACGAGCGGCGAACGGGUGAGUAACACGUGGGUGACCUGCCCUUAGCUCUGGGAUAAGCCUGGGAAACUGGGUCUAAUACCGGAUAUGACCUCAUGACGCAUGUUGUGGGGUGGAAAGCCUUGUGCGGCUAGGGAUGGGCCCGCGGCCUAUCAGCUUGUUGGUGGGGGUGAUGGCCCACCAAGGCGACGACGGGUAGCCGGCUUGAGAGGGCGACCGGCCACACUGGGACUGAGACACGGCCCAGACUCCUACGGGAGGCAGCAGUGGGGAAUCUUGCGCAAUGGGCGAAAGCCUGACGCAGCGACGCCGCGUGA
rnacentral:rRNA from 1 species